rnacentral:lncRNA from 1 species
UCACAUUUGAAGCUUUGAGCUUUGUUGUUGGAAAAGCGGAACAGAAAUAAAUCAAAUCAAAUCUGUUGCUCCACCCAUUUUUAUGUCUUGCCCCUCCUGCCACUGGUAUCUGACUUCCAUAAGGGAAUAUGUGGGCUGAAAAAGGCUCCUUGCCCCUGGGCUAUGGGUUCCUCAUCUCUGUUCUGCUUUUUGGUAAAUGAAAUUUAAAAAGGGCAAUUUUUAUUACUUUAUUCAUGGGUGCAUAUUUGUCUCCCUCCUUUCUGUCCUGAAUACAACUUAAUAACAAACUGAAAAGGUAUCAAAGCCGGAAUGUUCUGCACUGAACGCUGAAGAACUGAAUGCUGAUGAAUGGGUCUCUCCAAGUAAGGAGGCCAAAAAACACUUGUGUUCCAAAUAACCACACUUCUUUUAGCUGUGAGGCUUAUGUUGGUGGCCUAAUUGGGUAGGCAAGAUCAUGUGGUUCUUUACAGAUCUUGGCUGCGAACCAUAUAUAGGACUUCAAAGGUAAAUCACUGGUGCUUUGAAUUGAGACUGAUUUCCUGAGCCUUCCAGGCCUGCGUAGGUUAAAACCAACACUUUGAAUUGGGUUUGAGAAUGUAUAGGCAGCCACUGCAGCUGUGCCGGAACUAGCAUUAUAUGCUCAAUACCGCCUGAUUUUUGUCAGCAAUCUUGCUGCUGCAUUCUUCACCAAAGGCAGCCCUACGUAUAAUGCAUCUCAGUCAUCUAAUCGGGAGGUUACUAGAGUACAGAUUACUGUCCCGACAGAGGAGCAAUUGGGCCACCAGUUGAACCUGGUAGGACUGUACACCACUCAUCCGACCUGAGGAACCUCCUAUUAACAACAUCUUGUUUGGAUUAAGCCUCAGUUGACUGGUCCUCGUUUAGUCCAUCAUUGUGACUAGGCACAUGAUCAGUGAAUACAUCUAUCACCUCACCUGCACAGGAAGAAAUUGAAAAAUAGUGUUAUGUGUAUCAGUGGUAGACUGAUGACAAUACACUGCAAAACUCCUUAUGACUAUACCUGGCAGCAUGUAGAUAACUAGGUUUGGGUGAGGUGACACAUGGCAGCCACAUUGGUGCCAGCUGUGCUAUACAUGGCUAUACAUCAUGGAUAUAUAGUUCUACCAUGCAAGAGGGAUCCUGGGCCAGUCAGGAUCCUCUCCUUGGUGGACAGGCUCUUGACACAUAUGGCCAUCUUGAGGACUCUAUGCCAGGGGUAGGUUGGGCCAAGCGGCAAAAGUAGAUGCAGCAACAUGUGUGACUUUUGCCCUUUUUACAGUAGGGUACAUUCCCAGACACACAAAAACCAUAAAUUUCUACACCCGCCACACAUAUUUAUCUCUCCCCGUGAUGCAAAUGUGUGUAGAGCAGGGCUGUGGGAGGGUUACCUUGGGAGAGUAUUGAGGGCCAAGCAGAGAAGCUCAGAGGGCCACAUUUGGCACUGAGGUCCGCCACCCCUGGCUUACACCAUAAGAAAUCUGUGAGGCUUUAAGAUGCUGGAAACCUCCUUGGUCCUAUAGGCACUGCAUAAUAGCAAUGUGUGUUGAUGUUUUUAACUGUUUCCUGCUCUUGAAGACAGGUACAGUACUAACUGGACUGAGGGGGGAAAUCACCAUUAGUACUGUAUUGUUCCCCUUUCCAGUGUCAAAUAUAUGCUGUGUUUAUGUCUAAUUAUGCAUUUACAUUUAAGUUGCCCCUUUUCCUUUCACUUGGGUGGUACCAUAGGAGAGGAGAGAGGGCAAGCAAUCUUCCAAACUAGGAAGUGGUGGGCUUAAGUACUGUACUGUGGUGCUCCUACCUCAGCAGAGACUGUUAUUUUUCUCUCAGAGAUCUUAACACAUGGGACACAACCUGUCCAUCUAGAAAUAUACUUGGCUCUUCUGUGUCCCCCCAUUUUCUUCUUGCACCGCCAUAGUCUAUGUACUUUAUAAAUGUCAUAAUUGGCUUUACGAUACAAUACGAUAAUCUUUAUUGUCAUUGCCCCAUACAGAACAAUGAAAUUGAAAAAAUCUACAUCAGACAUUCAAAAACCAACACGCUUGCUAUCCCUUUGAAGGCUCUUGCAGAAAGUGGGAAAUAUACAAUAUGCCGUUCCCUACUAUUUUUUGUUGGGAGUCCCCGAGUGGCUAGGGCAACCCAGUCAGAUGGGCAGCAUAUAAAUACAUAAAUAAUAAUAAUAAUUCCCUGUCAGCCAUAGGUGAAGCAGCAAAGAUCAAGUAGUUUCAGACAUAUUGUGAAUACUUCUCUCUCUCUCUCUCUCUCUGCCCCGCUUUCCCUGACCUGCAAGGCUGGACCCUGUUUUACCUCCCUGAAUCUUCCGAAUUUGUAUUAUUCUUUUGUUAUUGUAUUUUACUGGUUAUACCUCCUUGAAUCGUCCG